AUGAGCCGCAGGGGCCCGAGGCCCACGCACGUCCACAGUCUCCGUCAGCCUCCCCUCCAUACUCCACCCCAGAGCCUGAGGGGGCCCCGGGGAAGGCACCACGGUCUGGCCGAGCCCCUUCCCCCGAGGGCGUGGCAGCCAGUGGUGCUAACGGGCUGGCCAGUCCUCAGCGGGAUGCCGACCGUUCAGCGCCCCGCCCAGAACGCAGCCAUGGGGAGCCGGGCGACCAUCUGUCCUAAGGCCCCUGCCUGGCUCUGGCCCAACCUCACCGAGGGUCCCUGUGACACACACUCUCAAGACACGUGGGUGCCCUUGCCAGCACUUGCCUCCAACACCUGGGAGCACCCUGUGGUGGGGACCCCAUCUGCAGGCUACAGUGGAGGUCUGUGCGGUUCACAGCAAGGCCAGGGACAAGGGCUAACCAGGGAGACCAGCUUCCUGGAACACAGCCACCAGGGCACAAACUUCCAGCAGGGGCCUCGCCCAGGAAUCUGCCACCUGCCCUGGGUCCAAGGGGGGAUGAGGGCACCCGCCUCCCACCUUCCUCCUUCCCGGACACGAGGCCUCUGCUACCCUCGUGCACUGGACACCCCAGAGGCCGCCACCUCUUUAAACCACGUGGCACCUCUGGGUAGCACCUACACAAAGCCCAAUAUACUUCUGAGAAAGGAGGAAGGAAGGAGGAAGGAAGAAGGGAGGAAGGAGGAAGGGAGAAAGGAGGAAGGAAGGAGGAAGGAGAAAGGGAGAAAGGAGGAAGGGAGAAAGGAGGAAGGAAGGAGGAAGGAGAAAGGGAGGAAGGAGGAAGGAGAAAGGGAGAAAGGAAGGAAGAAGGAGAAAGGAGACAGGGAGAAAGAAAGGAGGAAGGGAGGAAGGAGAAAGGAGGAAGAGGGAAGGGAGAAAAGGAGGAAGGAUGAAGGAGAAAGGAGGAAGGAAGGGAGAAAGGGAGGAAGGAGAAAGGAGGAAGGAGGAAGGAGAAAGGGAGGAAGGAGGAAGGAGGAAGGAGGAAGGAGGAAGGAGACAGGGAGGAAGGAGGAAGAGGAAGGGAGAAGGAGGACGGAGGGAAGGAGGAGGAAGGGAGAAAGGGAGGAAGGAGAAAGGGAGGAAGGAGGAAAGGAGGAAGGAGGAAGGGAGGAAGGAGACGGAGGGAAGGAGGGAAGGAGGGAGGAAGGAGACAGGGAGGAAGGAGACAGGAGGAAGGAGGAAGGAGGAUGCAAUGAUGAAAGACAUUUUAUUUCUACCAAACAUUUUAUUUGGCACGAUGAAAUUUAUCGAUGA
rnacentral:lncRNA from 1 species